rnacentral:rRNA from 1 species
UUGGAGGGCAAGUCUGGUGCCAGCAGCCGCGGUAAUUCCAGCUCCAAUAGCGUAUAUUAAAGUUGUUGCAGUUAAAAAGCUCGUAGUUGAAUUUCGGGGUUCAUCCGUUGGUCGGGCUUUUUUGGUCUGUACUGGCGUGAUGGAUUCCUACCUUCUGAAUAACCAGCAUGUCAUUAAUUUGGUGCGCUGGGGAAGCAGGACUGUUACCUUGAAAAAAUUAGAGUGCUUAAAGCAGGCUAUCGCCUGAAUACAUUAGCAUGGAAUAAUGAAAUAGGACGGCAUGGUUCUAUUUUGUUGGUUUCUAGGAUCACCGUAAUGAUUAAUAGGGAUAGUUGGGGGCAUUAGUAUUCAAUUGUCAGAGGUGAAAUUCUUGGAUUUAUUGAAGACUAACUUCUGCGAAAGCAUUUGCCAAGGAUGUUUUCAUUAAUCAAGAACGAAAGUUGGGGGAUCGAAGACGAUCAGAUACCGUCGUAGUCUUAACCAUAAACUAUGCCGACUAGGGAUCGGACGAUGUUAAUUUUUUAAUGACUCGUUCGGCGCCUUACGGGAAAC